rnacentral:rRNA from 1 species
GACGAACGCUGGCGGCGUGCUUAACACAUGCAAGUCGAACGGAAAGGCCCUGCUUUUGUGGGGUGCUCGAGUGGCGAACGGGUGAGUAACACGUGAGUAACCUGCCCUUGACUUUGGGAUAACUUCAGGAAACUGGGGCUAAUACCGGAUAGGAGCUCCUGCUGCAUGGUGGGGGUUGGAAAGGUUCGGCGGUUGGGGAUGGACUCGCGGCUUAUCAGCUUGUUGGUGGGGUAGUGGCUUACCAAGGCUUUGACGGGUAGCCGGCCUGAGAGGGUGACCGGCCACAUUGGGACUGAGAUACGGCCCAGACUCCUACGGGAGGCAGCAGUGGGGUAUAUUGCACAAUGGGCGGAAGCCUGAUGCAGCAACGCCGCGUGCGGGAUGACGGCCUUCGGGUUGUAAACCGCUUUCGCCUGUGACGAAGCGUGAGUGACGGUAAUGGGUAAAGAAGCACCGGCUAACUACGUG